UUCCUCCACAAAGCUUCCAGACAGAGUAUCCAUCAGAUAUUUAAACCACUCUGGUCCCGUGGUUGAGGGGCAUCAGUACUCUCUGCAUUGUGUUGUCCAGAACACCGCUCCUAUUGAGCACCUCAGAGUGACCUUCUUCAAAGUCUCUACCAAUGGUGAACAGACAGUGUUAUACACACAACAACUGAACAAUGACAUUAGGGAACCAGUGAAUGGGAGCUUUUCCCUGCAGUUCUCCCCCACUAGUGUUGAUGACGGGGCCCAGUUGUUGUGUUCAGCCAUGUUGGAUCUGGGACCACAGGGACCCCAACCUCCUCCUGUAAUGGAAUCAGAAUGCCUCAACACCACCGUGCACUUCGCUCCUGAGUUCUGCUGUUCUGCCAAGCUGCAGGUGCGAGCGGGGGAGGGGCUAACUUGUGAUGUCAGAGGCAAUCCCCUCCCAUCGGUCACCUGGCUGAGAGACGGAAAGAUGCUGACCCCGCCCACACACCUGAGCAGAGAGGAUGCUGGGAAUUACACCCUCAUGGCUUUGAACCGUAUUGGAAAAGCCAAUCACACAGUGGAGGUGGAGGUCCUACAUGACUGUGCUGCUAGAGGUGUGUUUGUUUGUUUGUGUUUGUGUGUGUGUGUGCGCGUGUUAGAAACUGAUUUUUAAGGUGUUGUUCAACGUCUGUUUCCCUCCACAGGAGCUUCCUGUCAGGCUGCUGGGAGUGCCACGGUGGCUCUGCUGCUCCACCAGCUCAUUCAUUGGCUAUAUUGAAUGAUUAUUUUAUUGAUUGAAUGGUUGAAUGAUUAAUUGACUAAUCAGGACAUCAAUCUCUGUGCUGGAGCUUUGUGAUUUGACAGUGAUCUGUGAGGGCAGUCUUCAAUAGAUCUGGAAUCAGAUCUGAGUUAGUAGAAAACCCUUUUUUCCUAAAUGUGAAAUUAGCUGUUUUGAAAUGUGUUAUUUUGAAGUAGUGCUAUUGAACAGGUCUAUAAUUAAGCAAUAAGGCCCAGGGGGUGGUAUAUGGCCAAUAUACCACGGCUAAGGGCUGUUCUUAUGCACGACACAACGGUAUAAAUGUUUAUUUCAAACCCUAACCUUAAAUGUUUAUCACUAAUAAACUAUAUAUGUUUAGGCUUAAUCCUAACCCUAAGUGUUUAUUACUAAUAAACUAUAUAAAUGUUUAGGCCUAAUCCUAACCCUAAAUGUUUAUUACUAAUAAACUAUAUAAAUGUUUUGGCCUAAUCCUAACCCAGUCUCUAGCAACAGAUCUGCCAUUAUCCUUUUUGCAAUGUUGUCAAUGUCUUUUGUGACUAAUAAAAGUUGAC
rnacentral:lncRNA from 1 species